rnacentral:rRNA from 1 species
GACGAACGCUGGCGGCGUGCUUAACACAUGCAAGUCGAGCGGUAAGGCCCUUUCGGGGGUACACGAGCGGCGAACGGGUGAGUAACACGUGGGUGACCUGCCCUCAGCUCUGGGAUAAGCCUGGGAAACCGGGUCUAAUACCGGAUAUGACUCCAUGACGCAUGUUGUGGGGUGGAAAGCCUUGUGCGGCUGAGGAUGGGCCCGCGGCCUAUCAGCUUGUUGGUGGGGUGAUGGCCUACCAAGGCGACGACGGGUAGCCGGCCUGAGAGGGCGACCGGCCACACUGGGACUGAGACACGGCCCAGACUCCUACGGGAGGCAGCAGUAAGGAAUAUUGCGCAAUGGGCGAAAGCCUGACGCAGCGACGCCGCGUGGGGAUGAAGGUCUUCGGAUUGUAAACCCCUUUCGGGAGGGAAGAUGGAACGAGCAAUCGUUCGGACGGUACCUCCAGAAGCAGCCAC